GGCCUACCAUGGUUUUAACGGGUAACGGGGAAUUAGGGUUCGAUUCCGGAGAGGGAGCCUGAGAAACGGCUACCACAUCCAAGGAAGGCAGCAGGCGCGCAAAUUACCCAAUCCCGAUACGGGGAGGUAGUGACAAUAAAUAACAAUACAGGGCUCUUAUGGGUCUUGUAAUUGGAAUGAGUACAAUUUAAAUCCCUUAACGAGGAACAAUUGGAGGGCAAGUCUGGUGCCAGCAGCCGCGGUAAUUCCAGCUCCAAUAGCGUAUAUUAAAGUUGUUGCAGUUAAAAAGCUCGUAGUUGAAUUUCGGGGUUCUACCGUUGGUCGGGCUAUAGUCUGUACUGGCGUGUGGAAUUUCUACCUUCUGGGGAACUAUCAUGUUAUUAAUUUAGCGUGGUAGGAAACCAGAACCUUUACCUUGAAAAAAUUAGAGUGUUCAAAGCAGGCUUACGUCUGAAUACAUUAGCAUGGAAUAAUAAAAUAGGACGGUGGUCCUGUUUUGUUGGUUUCUGAAUCACCGUAAUGAUUAAUAGGGAUAGUUGGGGGCAUUAGUAUUCAAUUGUCAGAGGUGAAAUUCUUGGAUUUAUUGAAGACUAACUUCUGCGAAAGCAUUUGCCAAGGAUGUUUUCAUUAAUCAGGAACGAAAGUUAGGGGAUCGAAGACGAUCAGAUACCGUCGUAGUCUUAACCAUAAACUAUGCCGACUAGGAAUCGGACGAUGUUAAUUUUUCUUGACUCGUUCGGCGCCUUACGGGAAACCAAAGUGUUUGGGUUC
rnacentral:rRNA from 1 species